rnacentral:tRNA from 3 species
GGAGAGGUCGCAUAGCGGUCUAGUGCGCCUGCUUGGAGAGCAGGUAGGCUCGAAAGGGCCUCGAGGGUUCGAAUCCCUCCCUCUCCGCCA